CCUACGGGGGGCAGCAGUGGGGAAUAUUGCACAAUGGGGGAAACCCUGAUGCAGCGACGCCGCGUGAGUGAAGCAGUAUUUCGGUAUGUACAGCUCUAUCAGCAGGGAAGACAAUGACGGUAACUGAUUAAGAAGCCCCGGUUAACUACGUGCCAGCAGCCGCGGUAAUACGUAGGGGGCAAGCGUUAGACGGAUUGACUGGGUGUAAAGGGAGCGUAGACGGCAGCACAAGUCUGGAGUGAAAUGGCGGGGCUUAACCCCGGAAAUGCUUUGGAAACUGUGCAGCUAGAGUGCAGGAGAGGUAAGUGUAAUUCCUAGUGUAGCGGUGAAAUGCGUAGAUAUUAGGAGGAACACCAGUGGCGAAGGCGGCUUACUGGACUGUAACUGACGUUGAGGCUCGAAAGCGUGGGGAGCAAACAGGAUUAGAUACCCGGGUAGUC
rnacentral:rRNA from 1 species